rnacentral:tRNA from 1 species
GUUCAAAUAGUUUAAAAAAAAUGUUGGUUUGUGAAGCCUAAGAUAUAAUUUAUUUAUUUUGGACA